GGCCGUGAGGGCAGGAGACAGGCAGGCCCUGGCUGAGCAGAGGCGGGCUACGAGCGGGGCUGAGAACCGCCGUGAUCCCUGGCUGGGGUGGCGGGGCCGGGUCGGGGCCGCCUUCUCUGGGGGCCAUUCAUUAGCUCGGGCGACAUUUCCCGGCCCCUGCUGUGCCCCAGGUCCUGGGGCUGCGGCGCCGGACGGACAAAAAUCCCAGCCGUUGUGGCGCUGACGGUCUAGCGGGGAAGGCCAAGGUGGCUGGCUUGCAGAGGAGAGCAGCUGGUGACGUCUCUUGCUGGAGUCAGAAGCCCUGGGUUUAAAAUCUGCCUCCAUAGCACAAAUCAAGUUUUUAAAAAUGAAGCCCACCUGCAGUGUCAUUCGCUGGCGAUGUUUGGGUGAAGCCAGGCAAGUUUCUUGGUGCUCGUCUACACCUCAGUUUCUUCCCCUGGAAAAUGGGAGCAGCCUAUGGCACCCACCUCCACAGGCUGGUGAUAAGGAAUCUGUGAGAGCAGGCCCCCUGUAGCUCUCUAAAACCCAGCGAGUAUUGUUAAGUAAUGCACAAUAAAUGGGCAAGUGAAGUCUGAACCUUGGUCUCUCGUUCAUUCAAGAAACUUUCUUAAAACUCCCUCAACAUUCCAAGCUCUGAGCUAGCCACGAGCCUACAGUGACACCCUGAGCUGGUGAGCUUUCUCUGCAUCUGACUGGCUGUCCCCCAUGCUGAUCACACUAAUGUGUGGUGUCAGGGAAAAUCCAAGUGCAGUGGAAAAAAAGUCCGGGGAACCCUGAGAUUAGAGAGGCGGAGGCUCAGGUAGACCUCUGAAAGGAUGCACAAGGCAGGCAGGAGGCGCCUCCAAGGGGAAAAGAAGGUGGGAACACAAGGGCUGGUGUGGCCAGAGGGAUGAUGCGACGGAGGUCAGCAGCAGAACCUGGUGGUCUGUGGCGAGGGUUCUUAGCGUUUUCUGGAGGUCAGUGGGAAGCAGUUGAAGGACUUUUGUCAGGAGCUUCUCGUAGCUGCUCCUGCUGGGUGGAGAUGGCUGGAGGGAAAGGAGAGGAAGUGGGGGUACUUG